UUAAGGUAAAAUAAAAGCGCUUGUGGCCAGAAUGGGGUAGAUAUUUCUAAUUUACAUUACAAAGUGUUCUAAUAACAUUUUUUGGCAAUAUUGUGAGUUGUUUCCCUUUGUUCUCAACACAAUCAUGCUCAGACUUGAAUCUUUGAUAUCUAAAAUGUGAUAUUGUAUUUACAAUGGGAGAGCAUUACAUGUAAUCAUAUUAACAUCAUAAAUAAUUAGAAAAAAAG
rnacentral:lncRNA from 1 species